AUAUAUCAAUCAACCUUCUCUUUUUGAGUGGUUUGGAUGUGGGGGUUUGCUGGCCUUGUAAAGGGUUCAGCUCCCCUGAAAUGCAUUAGCAGAACAACCCUGUUCAUUGGUGUGAUAACUAUCUACGCUAUUGAAUGUAAGGGGCAGUUCAGCUUUCUAACAGUCCUCGGACAAUUCAUCAUUA
rnacentral:misc_RNA from 1 species